ACCAGGCUCCUGUUUCAUGAAGCAGGUUAUGUGGAAACCCUGCACAUGUUGAGCCUGAAAUCAGCGACACCCUGAGUUAACCCUUUCAAUAAGGGAGAUCAUUUGUGAUGCAGCUCACAUCAUCACAAAAGUGGAAGCCAAGUGGCCUGGGUCUGAGCAGGACUCCUGCAUAUAUCGAGGGUCUACUCUGAGCAACAGACUGGACUGUGGAGAGAUUGAAGGCUUCCUUCUGGGUGACAGGAGUUACCCCUGCCAACCCACACUCAUAACCCCUUACCCAGACCCUCAACCAGGCCCCCAGCAGCACUUCAAUGUGGCACACUGCUGGACCAGAGCCAGGCUAGAGGUGACUGUAGGCCUGCUGAAAGCCUGUUCCCAGUGCUUACAUCAUCUCAGUAACUCCUGAGGGAGCCUGUGACAUAAUUGUGGCUUGUGUUGUUCUCCAUAAUAUUGCAAUUAUUAGAGGAGAGCAACACCCUGCCCUACAAACAGAAGACCACGAGGAGGACCCCAUCCACCUCCCAGAAGCCAGGAUGGUUUUUAUAGAGCUGCCACAGCUAGUGAAUUUCCCCACUGCGGGAUCAAUAAAUAAAGUUCAUGUAAUCUUAUCUUGUUCCAAUGACAAAUUAAAUUUACCUGUGACUGCACACCCACCUCUAACUUGUAUUUAAGUAUCUCGAUUUCCAGAUCAGCCUUUUGGAUCUGGUGGUCCAAGUGCACCAUUUCCUGAUCUGUUUUUUCAAUCAGUUUAAGGAGAUGGAUUCUGUAUAACUGGUAACUGGAAAUCCAUAAGAAUGACAUUAAGUCAUAUUGUUCUACAUGUACAAUUGUACAGAAUUAAACUGUGUUGUUUACUGAAACUCUCACUGUGUUCAU